AAUUGGAGGGCAAGUCUGGUGCCAGCAGCCGCGGUAAUUCCAGCUCCAAUAGCGUAUAUUAAAGUUGUUGCAGUUAAAAAGCUCGUAGUUGAAUUUCGGGAUUGACGUGAUGGUCGUGCCUUACGGGGUAUGAACUGUUGCUGUUGAUUUCUCACCUUCUGGAGAAACUUGAUGUCCUUAAUUGGGUGUCUUGCGGAUCCAGGACCUUUACCUUGAAAAAAUUAGAGUGUUUAAAGCAGGCAUUUUGCUCGAAUACAUUAGCAUGGAAUAAUAGAAUAGGACGGCAUGGUUCUAUUUUGUUGGUUUCUAGGAUCACCGUAAUGAUUAAUAGGGAUAGUUGGGGGCAUUAGUAUUCAAUUGUCAGAGGUGAAAUUCUUGGAUUUAUUGAAGACUAACUACCGAGAAAGCAUUUGCCAAGGAUGUUUUCAUUAAUCAAGAACGAAAGUUAGGGGAUCGAAGACGAUCAGAUACCGUCGUAGUCUUAACCAUAAACUAUGCCGACUAGGAAUCAGACGAUGUUAAUUUUUUAAUGACUCGUUUGGCACCUUACGGGAAACCAAAGUGU
rnacentral:rRNA from 1 species